UGCUUAAUAACUUUGAGAUGAUAGAAGGCCGUCUUUGCUAGCCUAUAUAUCCCAUAUUUGUCCUAUUACUAUAUAUGAUCCUAGUUCACCCCUUUGAGCCUUUUAUUUUCCAUUUUAUUUGGUUUAGCCGUGGGUGGGAGCUUGGAGAUUGUUGUUAUGGGGUAGUUGGUUUAUGGAGAUGUGUGUUUAUGGAUUAUGUACUUUGAUCUUGAUUGAAAAAAUCCUAGUACCCUACAAGUCGUUGAAAAAAAAAGGAAAGGAAAGAGAGAAAAAAAGAAAAGAAAAGAGAGAAAAGAAUUGAAAAAAAAUGGGUACAUAGGAUGCUUUAGAAAGUCAUAAUAUCAUGAGAAUUAAUUAUUGUGUUGUGAUGGAUUUUGUAUUGGAAAUUUGGUUUUUGUGAUAGGUGGAUGAUUGUUGAGUGAGAAUGUUAUAAGGUUGGUGAUUGUGCUACAUUGAGU
rnacentral:lncRNA from 1 species